rnacentral:lncRNA from 1 species
AUUUCCCUUCUUUUGUUUUCUGAAGGAAUUUUUCUAGACCGUUUUCCAUUAGUUAUAGAUCAUCGAAAGAGGUGUGUUAAGAGUCUGGGGUUACCACCUUUUCCUCUAGCCACAGACUUUCUUUUCACCAGAUGGCUUAUCACUUCCUCUAACCCUGACAUUAUCCUUGGUUCUCUGACUAGAGAAGGCACGCAUUUGCCAGACAUGGGAUCUGUAGAACCUUUGACAGACUUUAAGCAGGAACUUUGCACAACUUCACGUUUCUCCUAGGUUUGUUAGUGAUGCUCCUGCUAACUAGGUCUAAAUGGCAAUACACAUCUCUCUAUUCAUUAUAGAAGUUGAUUAGCGUCUGUAAUUGUUUCCAGGGUAUUUCUAGACUAUAUAAAUGAGCCCACAAAAAGGAAGUGUUUAUGGAAGUAGAUGAAGAGGAAUGAGGGUAACUUGGAAAUUAGCUUCCCCUUUUUGUCAAUGUUCUGUUAUUACAGUAUCUAUAUCCAGAAAAUUCCCCAAAGACUGGAUGACUGCAAUGCAGCUCAUCUGAGCGCCCUUCUUAUUGGAGUUAAAGGUUCCCACCUGGUGUCUGUGGGUGCUUGCUUAUAUCUCCAGUGGUCCCUUGACUGCACUUUUUCCCCCUUGCAAGCUGGGGGCUGAGAGAGAGCUUACAGGUAAUUUUUGUUCUGCUUGCUCUGCUUGUGUCCACAAGGGAGCUUGGAUUCUGUGUAUUUGUUUCUUCACAGUGCUGGGAAAGGCAGUGAUAUGGACACAAUGUGUAUUUUUGUUUGUGAUCAUCCAAGUGGGAGACAGGCAUAUUAAUAUUAAAAAGCCAGAAACGUUUUAGUCCCCUUGUUAAUUUUUCUUCUGUUCCUUCUGUCUUCCCAUUUUAUUUCACAAAGUAUUUACUUACUACCCUUCCCCUUCCUAAAGUCCCUCCAAAAUCAGUGAACUGCAAGCAGGGAAACUAACAAAUGUCCAUCCACCUUUUUUAUGUGUGGUAUUUUUUUAUGUUGUUGUAUUUUGUUUGGUUGUUUUUUUGUUAUUGUUUUUUUUUUUUUUUUUGACUAAGCUUGAACCAAAGUCAAAUUUUAGCAAGCUGCUGUACUAAUGGACUAGUUUGUAUCGUGCAGUUCAGACACAUUGAGGAGAUAGAUGCUACUGACAAUUUCUUUUUUCAUUUGUCUUUUAUUAAUUUUAUAUAAAAGUUGCUGCUUGUUUUAAUCUUUUAUGUUGGUAAAUUGUAAUAUCCUCUGGGCAGACAUUAACUUGAUUUUUUAACUAGUUUAUUUAGUUUGAUGUGUAAAUAGGAUGGCAGUGUCAGUUACUAAUUUUUCUCCUCUUCAACCCACUAUUUCUCUGAUAUAGUUGACUUUAAUCUUUUAUCCUGAUUUGACAUCUCUAAUUUUAGUCUGCGCAAAUGAUUUUAGAGGUUUCAGUAAUACUGUAGCUGCCCAUAGUGGUGAGUCCCUCCCCUGGGAGAGGUAAUUUAGGAGGAAGGAUUCAGGGAGGGAAAUGCUGAUACCCACCAUACUGUAGUAGAGGUUAUAGCAUUAAUUUCCCAAAAUUGCUACCAAAGGAAGUGUUGAGCCCCAAGGGACUCAAGCCCCAGUGGAUUAAGAGGAAGAACAAGGAAAGGCUGAGUUUGUUUGUUUGUUUUCCUAUGUGGUUGAAAAGAUGCUUCCUCUCCCAAAUAAGAUUCUCCAACAUACUUUAAUAUUUUUAAAAACUUACUAAGCUUUAAAUGUCAGUACGAUGGUCUCUUCCCCACCCUGUCUAUAUUCACUAGUCAGUUUGGGAUAAGGGGAUUCUGCCUUUGUGUGUGUAUGUGGAUCACUUUAUGAGGAUAAACUUUAAACCAGCAUAAAAACCUGUGUUUAAAAGAAGAAAUAAAUCCUUAGACAAAGGUAACUUCUAGAAUUUUUCUUUUUUUUUUAAUCUUAUUUAAAAACAAGUUGUGAGAUGAAAGAUACAUUUAUACAUGUACACACAAAACACUAAAACAGCUUGUUCAUGGGUGUUUUAACUUAAAAUCAACUCCCCCAUCGUCAUCCCUAGAUAUUCUGCUGAUUGUAUUGCUUCAUGACUCAACCUUUAGUCCUUUUUUACUUUAUAUCAUCUUUUUUAUCAUCUCAAGAUAUGCUUUUUGAAUCAAAUGAAUCUCGUAAGCUAAGGUACUCAGACCUAACUUUUAGCCUCCUUAUGUGGGAGAGUCUGGAAAUUAAGGGGACCAUUUGACCAAAAAGAAGUGUUUGGUAGAGUGUCUGCCAUUUCUAAGAGGAGGGGCCAGAUAGGUCAUCACAGUUCAUUGUGUCAUCCUUCUUUUUUUCUUCUUAAUGUUUAUGCAAGUUUCAUUUCAUCCCUGAAUUUGGUUAACAUACAUUAAGCCAAAGACUAACUCUUAAUGCAUUUAUAGUGAUACUAUAUUUGCCCAUGGCAGUGGGCCCUCCCUAGGGAGUGGUGAAUGUAAUUGUUUGAAUCCUGCUUAUCACAAGCAGUGUGAUUUGAUCGUGAACUUUAUUUUGUACCCUGUAUAAAUCUGAAGGACAGAACAGAAAGACCUGGAAAAGAGCUUCUCAGAGGAAUGAUAUUGUUGCUUCCCAUUUAAGAAAUAAGUUGAGUGCUAUGUUGAGUGUUAAGUGGUUCUGAAGUUAUCUAGGCAGCUUUUUAGAAUUAAAAAAUUGUUCCUGUCCAUUCACUACCUGAUAUAAAGUGAACUUUUAUUUAUUUGAUAAGAAGGAUCAAUACCUUCCCUGUGUACUCAGCUGAUACUAGAGAAAUGGAACCAAAGGAAUCCAACUUUCAUUUUGUGUAGGACCAUAAUGAUUUAUACUCCUUAGUAGCAUUAUGAGAAAUUAACGUGGUUUUUUACAAAGGAAAGAUUAGUUAAAAGAUUUUUAGUGAAACUAUCUUGCCAGUUUGUUCGACACCAUUCACUAUUGAGAAAAAAAGCACAAUUAUACCUUUUUUUUUUACGUUAUUUUGUUCUGUUAUCCCUCAUUUAUUUGGGAAGGUGGGGGAAAACCUUGUCUGUUAUCCAAAAGCACAGAUACUUGCUUGACACAGUAUUUAAAUUCAGUCCCAUCUUUAACAUUAAAUUUCCUAUUUAAAUUGCUGGGAAAGCUGGAUACCUUUGCAAAUGUAGGAAAUUAAUGUAGAUUUUUAAAGUUGUAAAUCCCAAUAGUAAACAUUGAAAUUAGUGUAUAAUUAAAAAAAAAAAAAAAACUUGGCUUACAGAGGAAACUCUUUGUAGUUCAUAAAGUUGUGCCCAAACCUCACAAAACUUUCUUUACCAAGAAGGUAAAAUCACUGAGACAGGAAGAAAAGAGAGCGAGUGGACAGGGAGCAGGGAGCAGCCCUGAGCGUCAGGGCUGGCCAGGGGAGGAGGCAGUGGCAGUCUUCUGUGGCCUUAGACCCCACAGGGGCCCUCCAAGAACCAUCCUGCGAUUAGAGAACCCUCCAUUAAAGAGCCUCAAAAAUUCAUUAUGAGAGUUGGUCAAAUAGUUUCUUGUUAAAUCAGCAUCUGAAAUUGAUGAAUUUAAAGUUUAUUCAUUCAAACCAUGUUUAUUGAAGCUGAAGAUAUCAAAAAGACCAUCAGUACUAAUAGAGAAAAAGACUGAAAAGCCUAAAAUUUAAAAUAACUCAGAUGGGCAAGAAUUGACGGAUUCAUUUGAUCAUAGCCAUUUGUGAGUUCAUUUUUGUAUGUGUGUAUGAAAAGCAUUUAAUUUAAUAAUAGCCGUAGCCAUUUUGAAGUCAUUUUCAGUCUUAAAACACUUUGAGGAUGACUGUUUAUAAAAGGGCAAAAUCUUCUCAGCGUUUAACUUCAGUUUUCAGAAGGAAAAAAGUCCUUCUCUGCUAUUCCUUUAAGAAGAAUAACUAACAUCAGCUAUUAUGUAGGUCUGCAUAGAUGGCGCACACUGUGAACUUGGAUAGAAAUAGGAUAAAUUGCUUUCACUGUUAAAGGCUGGUACUAAUCCUGUUCUGCCUCAUUCUUUUUUUAAUCCAAAGAGAUUAAAUGGGACGUCCCUGAAAUUUUCAGUAAGGUAUUUGAAAGGGUUCCAUCAGGAGAGCAGGGAAUAUGUCUUUUCUCAGAGUUGUCCAUUUUACACCCAGAUUUCUACAUGAUUUGUGAACUGUUGCCUACUGACCAUCCUUAUUCUUGAAGCAGUCCCAUGUUCAGGCUCUUCUACUUUUACUGCCUUUGCUAAAAGCAGUAAACUUUGGUGGAUCUUAUGUUGAUCCUGUAAUCUGGAUCUCCUCUCCUCUGUUCCUUCUCUUCCUUUUCUCUUUGAAUGGUGAUACCUUAAUCCGUGAGGAUAAUGCUCGUGGGUAACAGCUAGCUUCUGGCACCUUCAUAAAAUACCUCAGCAUAGCUUAGCAUUGUUACAGAACUGGUUUUAAACUAAAAACCAAAUAAAGAGAAAAACUUUAUAAAUAGUGGAAAUAAUUAUAGCUGUAGCAUUUAGUUCAACUGAUGUUUAUUAUGAUCGAUAAACAUGAUUGAUGUUGUAUGUAUUUGGAAUCCUGUUUAUAGGUUACAGUUUAUAGGGUUGGGGGGGGAGAAAGUGAUUAUGUUAGAAGGAAAACGUUGCAUUGCUCGUGUGUGUGUGUGUGUGUGUGUGUGUGUGUGUGUGUGUGUCCUUAUCUCUGUCUUGCCAAAGGAAACUUGAUCAUCCCUGUGAUUAGGUUGGGAUUUGUUGGCUUCUCUGUGGUUUGGCCCGCAGUGCAGGGUGUGGUGGCAUGCAGGUUACACAUGGGUUGACCAGCUCAGGGUCCCUGAGGGCAUUUACAUCCCUUCCUGUGGCUGCCUGGGGCCCCCCCAGACUCUGCCAGCCUCUCCUGAUGAUUCAUUACCUCUGUAUGUAGCAAGAGCUUAGGCCAAGGAUGAAUGUGUGAAGUCUGGGUGUGUAGUUGAGAAAUAGAGGCAGAAGUAGACAGGCACCGUUUUAUUUGGAAAGGAAAGGAGAAAUGAGUGAUUGAUGCAUCUUAGUCUAAGAAAAUUAAAGUAAAUUAGAUUGGGGGGGCGGGAGGGGUUCCUUCUGUCAUGUUAUGAAUGUUGUGCUAGUAGCACAACAGUUUAAAACCUCACUUCCUUUUCUCAUACCAAGGCCAGUUCUGUCUAGACCAAAAACGCAAACAGAAGAAAAACCAGACCAAGAUGUUGAAAGCCAACCUGCUCACUUAACACCUAUGAUACCAUGUGACCUUUAGGGAUUGGUUAGUUAGUGAGGUUGGGGAGAAUAUUGUUCUUGGUGGAUAUGUGAAUGAGAAAUGAUGCUGGUUUAGGAACAGUUAAGAGCCCUUUCUGGCCAUACUCUAGGGCAAAUUUUUUUGGCUUCCCGAGUUCAAAUAUAGAUUCUGUCUCCAAAAAGGCUAUUUUUUAAUAAGUGAUCCAUCUCACAGAACCUAAGUGGGAUUCAGUUUGGAUACCAAAGACACUGCAUUCUUGAUCCUUACAAUUUCAAAGCAGGCAGAGGGGAUAGGAGCAAAAAGCUGAAAUUUAGAAAAGCUUUACCUUUAUCUCUUCCCUUUUCUUCUCUCUCUUCUUCCCCACACCCCAUACCCACUUUUUGAAGAAAGUCUUGGUAGUCAUCCUGGCUUUGGAAAAGAGAUUUGUUUAGUUUCACUCUGCUGGCUCUGCAAAGAUGGAUAGAGCUGCUCAGGUGGCAGUGAUACUCUUGGAAUUGCUGGGAAAUUUAGGGAGGGAGGUGGUGGAAGAUGGGGGUAGAAUUCUUGUCUAACUUCCCUUUAUCUAACGCUUAUAAAGAGAGCUAGUACAGCCUAUUUGAGUUUAGAUGAUACUUAGUUGUUUUGUCACUUGUAAAGGAUAAGCAUUUUCAAGAACAGGAUUACACAGAAACUCAAAGACCCUCCUUUAUUCUUCCAUGGAGCUGUGUUAUUCCAAAAUGUUUUUACAUCCGGGCCCUAGGGAGUUGAGUAGUUCAUUGUUUCGGUGUGCCAUUGAUGGGACACAGGGGGAGUGGGGAGAAAUGUAUAGCUCUCCAUAUUCAUUCCAUCAAGAACUGGUCAGGUUGCAGAACUUCACGAAGGCUUUACUAAUAAUCUUAUUGUUCUGACAUUAUAUAAAAGUAGUAUUAAGAGUGUGUGACUUUUCCAAGUGCUAAAUAGAUCAGGAAGCAGGCAGCAGGGCUAUUGAAGGUAAGAGCACUUGAAACAGCAGUUGUGGGAGGACAAGGUAUGUGUGAUGGAACACCACUGUGCCCAGGAAUAAAGCUCCCAGGCUGGGCCAGGCAGGUGCCCUUGAAGAUUCUUUCUGUGCCCCUGAAUCAGCCCACUCCACUCAGGGCUGCACCACCUUCUGGUUCAAACCCAGGCAGGACACUAUCAGAAAAUUCAGGCCCCCAAACUAAUUU